AGACCCAAAAUGCGGAACCAGCAAAAUCUCGCGAGCUAAGGCUUCGUUCUGCUCCUCCCCGCUGAGAGGGUCUGGAGAGGCCGCUUUUCGCACCGCCCGCUCCUCCGCCUCAGCCAAUCAGCAGCCUCUAGGCCGGGACUUCCGCUGCCGGAGGCGUGGUGGAAUUGCGGUCUUCGGACUGGAAGAGCGGCUGAGCCUGUGGUAUAUACAGGUCUGGAGCUCAAAGAAGAGACCAGGAUGAAGAUCAUCUUGGCAGAGUUCAAAAGCUAUUUCUCUCGUGUCUUAAAAAAGAAAGGGACUUCCCUGGUGGCGCAGUGGUUAAGAAUCCACCUGCCAAUGCAGGGGACAUGGGUUCGAGCCCCGGUCCGGGAAG